GAUGAAGAACGCAGCGAAAUGCGAUACGUAAUGUGAAUUGCAGAAUUCAGAGAAUCAUCGAGUCUUUGAACGCACAUUGCGCCCCCUGGUAUUCCGGGGGGCAUGCCUGUCCGAGCGUCAUUGCUGCCCUCAAGCACGGCUUGUGUGUUGGGCCUCCGUCCUCCUCCCGGGGGACGGGCCCGAAAGGCAGCGGCGGCACCGCGUCCGGUCCUCGAGCGUAUGGGGCUUCGUCACCCGCUCUUGUAGGCCCGGCCGGCGCUUGCCGACACAUCAAUCUUUUUUCCAGGUUGACCUCGGAUCAGGUAGGGAUACCCGCUGAACUUAAGCAUAACAAUAAGCGGAGGA
rnacentral:misc_RNA from 1 species